CCUACGGGGUGCAGCAGUGGGGAAUAUUGCACAAUGGGGGAAACCCUGAUGCAGCGACGCCGCGUGAGUGAAGAAGUAAUUCGUUAUGUAAAGCUCUAUCAGCAGGGAAGAAAAUGACGGUACCUGAGUAAGCAGCUCCGGCUAACUACGUGCCAGCAGCCGCGGGAAUACGUAGGGGGCAAGCGUUAUCUGGAUUUACUGGGUGUAAAGGGAGCGUAGACGGCAGUGCAAGUCUGGAGUGAAAGGCGGGGGCUCAACCCCCGGACUGCUCUGGAAACUGUACGGCUGGAGUGCAGGAGAGGUAAGUGGAAUUCCUAGUGUAGCGGUGAAAUGCGUAGAUAUUAGGAGGAACACCAGUGGCGAAGGCGGCUUACUGGACUGUAACUGACGUUGAGGCUCGAAAGCGUGGGGAGCAAACAGGAUUAGAUACCCGGGUAGUC
rnacentral:rRNA from 1 species